UUCGGUCGAGUUGUGCCGGUACACCAGGUGCUUAUCUGUGGAGACCGAACACUGAGCAAGAAGCCGCUGCAGUAACAAAUGAAUUCAACAUUAGAAAUGUGUGGAGCGGUGCAAAUGAUUUCGACGAAGAUGGAUUAUACACAUUUGACACAGAAAAUAGUUCAUUUGCAUUCAAUGCUCUCCCAUUUGGAAUAGGCGCUCAGGAUAGUUCCUUUAAAUGUGUGGUGAUAGAUUUAGAAGACGGUAUAUGGAAUUGGUCUACAUACAAUUGUGCUAAUGUUUUAGCACGCUACAUAUGCGAGUAUCCCAGAAGAGUUUGUCCAUAGAGACUUUGACACUGCCAACGAUGUUCUUCAUUUGAAAAAAAUUGUCGAUGCAUGGAAAAAUAAAAUUAUUAAAAGCGGA